rnacentral:lncRNA from 1 species
GCUUCUUUUUGCUUUCUCGUGUCUUCAGGUUAUCAGCUUUCCUUCUCUGUGAGAUACUUUUCCUUGUGAGGGGUUUUAUUCUUUCACCUUGGUGACUUUCUAGCUAUUCCUGAAUCGAUGGAAAGGAGCCAGGCUCAAACAUGACGACUGACUUUGUCACCUUGCCUUUCCUCCUCCAAUUAUAUUAAAUGUUGCUUGAAAUAACCUGGGGCUGGGAAAUCUUUUUUACUAUACAGAAAUUUUGGUUGAAAUGUAACUACCCAUUAUAAAAGGCCUUGCCAGCCCAUGGGUUCAUUUAUAAAGAGGGUGAAACCAGAGGAUUUUAUGAGCUGGAAGCGACAUUAAGGGAUUAUUUAGUCUAACCCCAUCAUUUUACAGGGGAGAAAACUGAAGCGGAGGGAAAUAACUAGAUUUGCCCAAAGUUGUACAGCUAAUUAGUAACAAAGCAAGGACUGGAACCCAAAUGCUCUGGACUGCUACACUAAAGGCCUUUCCAUUAUACCACCAAAUCAUAACUAUCAAACCCCCAUUCAGAAUGAUAUACUGUGUUCUCUCACUGUAACUUCAAAAGCCUAAAAAGGUAGGCUUGUCCCCUUAAAAGAAUUGCUCUAACAGGAUUCUACCAUAUUUGGUAUAAGGGGAUUUCAUCUUGAAUGGUUGGAUACACCACUCAGUUAUCUUCUGGAAUCAUUAGGAAAUGGGCUAGGUGAGUAAUCUCGACUAGCCCUCAAGUUAUUAUUGAGGGCUCUGAAUACUUGCGUGGGGGGACGCCUCAGAAAGUCCUGGGGGAACUGCAGGGAGGCCUUAUGAUUCAUCCUGGGUUCCUUACCCUUUCUCCGCCCCCAUCUCCCGAACCCAGAAAACCAAAUAACAUUCCUAAGACCAACAGAGAGGCUCAGCACAUUGUUCCUCCUGAAGGAUGGCUCUGUUCCAAACAGGAUGAUGAAAAGGACAGUGUCUGAGUACCAGUUCAUGCAUGAUAAAGGGAAGACCAUGCAAUCCCUGAAAAGGCUAAUGUGGUUAUACAAUGCCAUGGGUGGGGUGCACUCUGCCAGGGGCAGUGCUCCUUCCUACUCAAACAGUCUGUGGAAACUGCAGAAGCGCCUGACCCAUCCUAGUCUGUACAGAGAUACAAGUGGGGUGAACACUCACAACCUGGUGAAGCAAAUGCUGAUUAGCCUGAUGACGGAUGCCCAGCCUACUAGAUUGUAAAAUCCACCCAGACAGAAGUAAUUUCUUAUCCAAGCUUCGUGCCUGGAAUAGUGCUCUGUAUACAGGAGCUGAUUAAUAAAUGCUAGUUGAAUGAAUGCA